rnacentral:misc_RNA from 1 species
GUAUGCGUGGUGAAGCGUGGCAGCGUCUGAGGAAACACGAGGGGUAUAUAAGAGUGGCAGUGGAGAGCCGCGUUCUUAGUUCGAGUGAGCGUCCCUCCCUGUUAACUCAUCAGCUUCCCUCCGCACAUACACGCACCACCACCGCCAUGAGUUCCGACGCCGCUGAAGUCAAGGUCGCCGAGGAGACCAAGAAGGAGGAGGCGAAGGAGGAGGCGAAGGAGGAGGUGAAGGAGGAGGCGGCGAAGGAGGAAGCAAAGGAAGAAGACACCAAGGAGGAGGCGAAGGAGGAGAAAAAGGAGGAGGAGAAGAAGGACGAGGCGAAGGAGGAGGUGAAGGAGGAGGAAAAGAAGGAGGAGGAGAAGGAACAGGAGGAGGCCAAGGAUGGUGCAAAGUAAGGCCGAGGAAGAGAAGCCCGCUGAGGAGAGCCCCGCUGUCAUCGAAGACACCAAGAAGGUCGAGGAGGAGGCGCCGAAAGAAGCGGCAGAACCUGAGUCUUAAUAGUAACCUAGCCACCACGAGCUUCUUCUGUUUACCUUCCCGCCCUCACUGAAGGUUUCCGACUCCAAUCGCUUCAUCUCAGCUGCAUACACCUCCUCCUCCUUACCCUCCAAACUUCAAUGUCUCUUCACUCUUACCCCUGAAUACAGCUCAGUUUUCUCCUCAGCUUCAAAUUAAUCAUUCUCUCUGUUUUACUUUAAUUCUCGUCUUCUGUUUUCUCUUUAUCCUCGCCUUAAGCAGCUACCCAGUUUCUUUCUCUCCUCCUUGGCGUGUAGAUGUACAGACUAUCAUUCGCUUCAGUUUCCCUCCCUCCUCAUUCCCUAGACACGUAAGCUCUCUCUAACUCUCUCGUCCACCUCCUCCUCUCCGAACCCCGUCUCUGUGGGCUCGUGAGGAAGCAGUAGUGAUAGAGAUGAGGAAAUACGUAAUAGGUACGGUAUAUUGCUUGUAACACUGACUGUCGUAUGCAUUCCUGCCACUUGUAUAGCAGACAGAGUACGCAAACCCAUCCAGACGUUCGUAUUGGAGAAAAGGAUGCCAAAGAAUCAAAGAAAAUGGAAAAGUCUUAACAGUAACUCAACUAUUUCUUGUCUUCCUCCCUGUUAGUAGUGGUCUAUCUGUUUUCCAUUUUGUAUGUGAACGAAUGAGACAAUCAGACCCAAUGGCUGUAAAUUAGUUGCAGGUCAUGUUCACCUGUAGACUAACAAAACAAAUACUACGGUGGUGCCUUAACAUUUGUGCCUUCCCGUUUUCUAUAGGAGAAACAAACCCACACUAUUGUAUACAGUUUUCAUGUCAACACUAAUGGGAGAUGACAAAUAAUAGAAAGUUGGUUAAUUUAUACAGUUCCAAUGGUAUCAGUUUCGUAGCCAAGUGUUCCUCCUCCAUUUGAUUUUUUUUUUUUUUUCUUUCUCUUGUCCAGCCGAGCCACGCGUUUGAUCCUGAAGCAGAGUGUGUUGGAGGUGACUCUGGUGUGAGUGAUAGGUGAGAAUUGACUCUAGUCGCACAGGUACACCAGUAGAGCAUUCUGAGAGCAUUAUCCUACCAUUAUCCUCUUCUAUCUCUAUUACAAAGGCAUCAGAACAAUUCCUCUCCUUGCUAUUACUAUUAUUAGCAUUAUUAUUACAAUGCAUUCAGUAAAAUCGUCCUGUUGAGUUAUAUCAAUGUAGAGUUAAUAAGAGUCAAGUUUCCUUUCUUAUUCUUACACUCGAAGGCAAUUAAGGAGUUCCAUACACUUUUCCUGUACCUUUUUUCCUUCUCCUUAAUCACUUCACAUCCUACGGGACAUUAUUUACACCGCCAUGCUCAAGUCACGCAUCUUAACCCGUGAUCGUAAGGCAAGUCUAGAGCGUCAUGAUGUGAGCUCCUGCCUUCCUCUCUUUCCUACCUGGCCACGAUCCUCUCCCUCCAAGACGCUGGUGUAGAAUCUAAUACUAAGUGUGUCGUGUGUGAAGAGAAAGUUAGGUGUGGAAUCUUUAUUAAGGGUGAUUUUGUGUGUGGUGGAUGCUUGUAUGUUUUGUUGUCAGUUUUUUUUUCUCCUUUUUUUUCCACGUGUUCUGCAAGGUUGGAUAUAUAGUAAGAGGAAAAUUAUAACUUGUAUGGAUGUGGUGAGAGAAGAAAGAGAAUAAAUAUACUGUGAAGACUGAAGA